CAUUCAUCAACAUUUUUGUUGUGUUUGUUUCAUUGCCAACCCGAAAAGGCCGCCGCUUGCUGCCACCUGCAUUUGCAGCCACAGCGAAAUCUACAACAAAAACAUCAAGAACAAGUACAACGACUACGAGGCAAAUCAAAUGCGCAACAAGAGAUGCAACAAUUAAGACAACAAUCACAACAACAACUGUACCAACAACUUCACUUAACGCAUUCGCUGGGCAAUAUUUCAUCACUGAACGAAACAACGAUAUUUAACUGAUCUAGCAAAUGUAAAU